GCCUCGGUGGUCCAGCGGUUAGAACGCUGGCCUUGUAAUCCUGGGGUCUCGGGUUCGAUUCCCGGCGGUGCCC
rfam:Zootermopsis nevadensis contig3128, whole genome shotgun sequence.